rnacentral:rRNA from 1 species
AGUUUGAUCCUGGCUCAGGAUGAACGCUGGUGGCGUGCUUAAUGCAUGUCCGUCAAACCAAGCGCUUGAACAUAUUUCUUCGGAUUGAAGUUUUUGCGACUGAGUGGCGGACGGGUGAGUAACGCGUGGGUAACCUGCCUCAUACCGGGGGAUAACGGUUAUAAAUGACUGCUAAUACCUCAUAACCGCACGGUGCUGCAUGGGACAAUGUGAAAAACUCCGGUGGUAUGAGAUGGACCCGCGUCUGAUUAUCUCUUUGGUGGGGUAGCGGCCUACCAAGGCAACAAUCAUGAGCCCGCCUGAGAAGGUGAACGGCCACCUUGCGACUGAAACUCAGCCCAAACUCCUACCGGAGGCAGGGAUGUGGAAUAUUGCACACUGGGGGAAACCCUGAUGCAUCCACUCCCUGUGAGCGAAGAAGUAUUUCGGUAUGUAAAGCUCUAUCAGCAGGGAAGAAAUAGGACGGUACCUUGGUAAGAAGCACCGGCUAAAUACGUGCCAGCAGCCGCGGUAAUACGUAGGGUGCAAGCGUUAUCCGGAUUUACUGGGUGUAAAGGGAGCGCAGGCGGAUGGGCAAGUUGGGAGUGAAAAUCCUAGGGGCUCAACCCAUAAAUUGCUUUGAAAACUAUCAGUCUAGAGUGUUGUAGAGGUAGGCGGAAUUCCUGGUGUAGCGGUGAAAUGCGUAGAUAUUGGGAGGAACACCAGUGGCGAAGGCGGCUUACUGGGCAAUCACUGACGUUGAGGCUCGAAAGCAUGGGUAGCAAACAGGAUUAGAUACCCUGGUAGUCCACGCCGUAAACGAUGAUUACAUAGGUGUCGGGGAGCAAAGCUCUUUGGUGCCGCAGCACAUGCACUAAGUAGUCCUCCUGGGGAGUAUGUUAGCAAGAAUGAAACUCAAAGGAAUGGACGGGGACCCGCACAAGCGUCGUAGCAUGUGGUUUUAUUUGUAGUAACGUGAAGCACGUUUUUUGGUUUUGACAUCCUUCUUCCGGCUCUUUAAUUGGAGUUUUCUUUGUGUCCCGCGGAGACAGAUGGUGCACGGUUGUCCUUAGCUUGGGUGUUGAGACGGUGUGUCAAUUCCAACAAGGAGGGCAACCCUUUUAUUCAGUAGCCAGCUUGUAACGUGGGCGGUCUGUAGCGUCUCCCAGGGAUAACUUGGAGGAAGGGGGGUAUGAAAUCAAAUCAUCCUGCUCCUUAUGGUCAGAGGCUACACACGGGGUUCAAUGGGGUAAACCAAUGGAAGCGAACCUGUGUGGCGAAGCAAAUGUCAAAAACAUCGUGUCAGUUUGGACCGUAGUCCGCUACUUGGAGACAGCAAGCUGUAUUUGGUUGUAAUCGCGAAUCAGCAUGUGGCGGUGAACAAGUUCUCGGCUUUAGCACACACCGCCCUUCA